UGUCCAGUUUCAACAUCUGCCCGAAGCUCCUCCACAUGUUCUAUCAAUCAGUUGUUUCCAACAUCCAUUCUUAUUCCAUCGUGUGUUAGAGAGGCAGUGCAAGGAAGAAGAGCUCAAGAAAAUCUGAUAAUUAAAGUAUUUCUAUCUAUCUAUCUAGAAUGCUGUUUUAGCAUAUGGUGUUCACUCACCUGAUACUAGCACAUGGUGCCAAAUGUCAAAGUGGUGCAAAUCUCAUGAAUCUUGCUCCAGAAUUUAUUUUUUUUAUUUUUUUACCACAGCUCUAUUAGGAUAUACUAAAGUCUGUAAUGUAAUUCCAGAAAGGUAAAACUAUUAUUACUAUUUCUCCUUCAUGAUUACGUGAACUUUUUUACUCUUUUCUCUUUUGUUUAAACCCUAAAAGUUCAAGUUGGGUUCAAGGAGACACUGCACAGAGAAAGUUGGUUGACAAGUUCAACAGCCAAUCAAGACGCAGAACACGGUGUGCAGUAAAAAAAAAAAGUUGUAUGGAAAAUAAACAUGCAAGACUGCAAAAAAA